GCCGGCGUAGCUCAGUUGGUUAGAGCGCUUGAUUGUGGAUCAAGAGGUCCCCCGUUCAAUUCGGGUCGCUGGUACCA
rnacentral:tRNA from 1 species